rnacentral:lncRNA from 1 species
UAUUCAGGGGCUCAAAGGGGUGUAUCCCCGGCAUUUAAGCACAAGAUGUAUCUAGGGUAAGCAUCAUCUCCUCAACCUCAUCAUUAAUCCCUAGGCUAUCUAACAACAUAAAUGCUUUCUCUAGAGAGUCGUCUAGAUAUACACUCGUGUCAAGAAUUUGCUCAUCUACCUCAAUAACAGAUAUCGUGGAGAGCUCCUCAUAGUGGCGGGGAAGUUGGAAUGCUUUGUAGACGUUAAAAACUGCUUCUUCAUCAUCCACUCUCAAAAUCAUUUCUCCCUCUCUCACUUUAAUAAUUACAUCACCCGUAGAGAGGCGGCCCCAAUAUGAUUGGAACCAGUUCAUCAGCCUCAUAAUCUAAUAUAAUGAAGUCUGUAGGGAAUAUAAACUUCCCAAUUUGCAGCAAUACAUCUUCAAUCACUCCCUCAGGAUGUACUAUAGACCUGUCAGCGAGCUGCAACAUCACACUAGUUGGUCUUGGAGCUCCCAGACCCAAUUGCUUGAACAAGGAUAAGGGCAUCAAAUUUAUGCUCACCCCCAAAUCACAAAGAGCAUGACCCAUAUCAAUAUUACCAAUUCAACCGGGAUGGUGAAGCUGC